UCCUGGCUCAGGACGAACGCUGGCGGCGUGCUUAACACAUGCAAGUCGAACGAUGAAGCCCUUCGGGGUGGAUUAGUGGCGAACGGGUGAGUAACACGUGGGCAAUCUGCCCUUCACUCUGGGACAAGCCCUGGAAACGGGGUCUAAUACCGGAUANNAGUUCGGNAGGCAUCUCCNGGACUGGAAAGCUCCGGCGGUGAAGGAUGAGCCCGCGGCCUAUCAGCUUGUUGGUGGGGUAAUGGCCUACCAAGGCGACGACGGGUAGCCGGCCUGAGAGGGCGACCGGCCACACUGGGACUGAGACACGGCCCAGACUCCUACGGGAGGCAGCAGUGGGGAAUAUUGCACAAUGGGCGAAAGCCUGAUGCAGCGACGCCGCGUGAGGGAUGACGGCCUUCGGGUUGUAAACCUCUUUCAGCAGGGAAGAAGCGAGAGUGACGGUACCUGCAGAAGAAGCGCCGGCUAACUACGUGCCAGCAGCCGCGGUAAUACGUAGGGCGCAAGCGUUGUCCGGAAUUAUUGGGCGUAAAGAGCUCGUAGGCGGCUUGUCACGUCGGGUGUGAAAGCCCGGGGCUUAACCCCGGGUCUGCAUCCGAUACGGGCAGGCUAGAGUGUGGUAGGGGAGAUCGGAAUUCCUGGUGUAGCGGUGAAAUGCGCAGAUAUCAGGAGGAACACCGGUGGCGAAGGCGGAUCUCUGGGCCAUUACUGACGCUGAGGAGCGAAAGCGU
rnacentral:rRNA from 1 species